UGGGGAAUAUUGGACAAUGGGCGCAAGCCUGAUCCAGCAAUGCCGCGUGGGUGAAGACGGCCUGCGGGUUGUAAAGCCCUUUAGGCGGGGAGGAACGACCGGACGCGAACACCGUCUGGAAGUGACGUUACCCGCGGAAUAAGCACCGGCUAACUCCGUGCCAGCAGCCGCGGUAAUACGGAGGGUGCGAGCGUUAAUCGGAAUUACUGGGCGUAAAGCGUGCGUAGGCGGUUUGGUCAGUCAGCCGUGAAAGCCCCGGGCUCAACCUGGGAACGGCGGUUGAGACGGCCAAACUCGAGUGGGCUAGAGGAUCGUGGAAUUCCGGGUGUAGCGGUGAAAUGCGUAGAGAUCCGGAGGAACACCGAUGGCGAAGGCAGCGGUCUGGGGCCACACUGACGCUGAGGCACGACAGCGUGGGGAGCAAACAGG
rnacentral:rRNA from 1 species